UGCGGAGUAUACUAAGGAUAGUCUGCGGGUAGAAUAUUCGCGUCCCCCUUAAGGGAGGUCGUUUAGAGGAUUGUCAGGUAGGGAGCAGUUAAUAGGGGCGUUAAGUCCCCUAGCUAUCAAAUGGCACGGGAAUUCCUAAGAGUUAACGAACAAAUUAAAUGUUAAAGGGGAAUGAUUUUUAGGCGAUUAACUUUUUGUCGCCAUAUUAAAAUGGUAG